rnacentral:rRNA from 1 species
UAGGGAAUCUUCCACAAUGGACGCAAGUCUGAUGGAGCAACGCCGCGUGAGUGAAGAAGGCUUUCGGGUCGUAAAACUCUGUUAUUGAAGAAGAACGUGUGUGACAGUAACUGGUCAUGCAGUGACGGUAUUCAAUCAGAAAGUCACGGCUAACUACGUGCCAGCAGCCGCGGUAAUACGUAGAUGGCAAGCGUUGUCCGGAUUUAUUGGGCGUAAAGCGAGUGCAGGCGGUCUUUUAAGUCUGAUGUGAAAGGCCUU